rnacentral:rRNA from 1 species
GACGAACGCUGGCGGCGUGCCUAAUACAUGCAAGUAGAACGCACCGUUUAUACCGUAGCUUGCUACACCAUAGACUGUGAGUUGCGAACGGGUGAGUAACGCGUAAGUAACCUGCCUGGGAGCCUAGGAUAACUAUUGGACACGGUAGCUAAUACCUCAUAAUAUUAAUUAUUCCCUGGUAAUUGAUUGAAAUUUGCAACUGCAUCACUACCAGAGGGACCUGCGUUGUAUUAGCUAGUAGGGGUGGUAACGGCUCACCUAGGCGACGGUACAUAGACGACCUGAGAGGGUGAGCGGCCACACUGGGACUGGGACACGGCCCAGAAUCCUAGGGGAGGCAGCAGUAGGGAAUCUUUGGGAAAGGCCGAAAGGCUGAACGAGCGACGCCGCGCGAGUGAAGAAGGUAUUCGGGUCGUAAAGGUCUUUUGUAAGAGAAGAAUGGGUGUGAGAGUUGAAAGUUCACAUUGUGACGGUAUCUUAACAGAAAGGGACGGCUAACUACGUG